GACGAACGCUGGCGGCGUGCUUAACACAUGCAAGUCGAACGGAAAGGCCCUGCUUUUGUGGGGUGCUCGAGUGGCGAACGGGUGAGUAACACGUGAGUAACCUGCCCUUGACUUUGGGAUAACUUCAGGAAACUGGGGCUAAUACCGGAUAGGAGCUCCUGCUGCAUGGGGGGGGUUGGAAAGUUUCGGCGGUUGGGGAUGGACUCGCGGCUUAUCAGCUUGUUGGUGGGGUAGUGGCUUACCAAGGCUUUGACGGGUAGCCGGCCUGAGAGGGUGACCGGCCACCUUGGGACUGAGAUACGGCCCAGACUCCUACGGGAGGCAGAAGGGGGGAAUAUUGCAGAAUGGGGGGAAGCCUGAUGCAGCAACGUCGCGUGCGGGAUGACGGCCUUCGGGGUGUAAACCGAUUUCGCCUGUGACGAAGCGUGAGUGACGGUAAUGGGUAAAGAAGCACCGGCUAACUACGUG
rnacentral:rRNA from 1 species